UACAGAGACCUCAAGCGUUAUCCGGAUUUAUUGGGCGUAAAGCGUCCGCAGGUUGUUUGGCAAGUCAAACGUCAAAACCCAUCGCUCAACGAUGGAUCGGCGCUUGAUACUAUCAAACUAGAGGGAGGGAGAGGUGAGCGGAACUCUCGGUGUAGUCGUAAUAAGCGUUGAUAUCGAGAAGAACACCAAAUGCGAAGGCAGCUCACUGGAACUCACCUGACACUCAUGGACGAAAGCGUGGGGAGCAAACAGG
rnacentral:rRNA from 1 species